UCCAACUAUCUCUCUCAGCCUCAUCUCCCUCUUCCCCUUCCUAGAUCGACGCCCCUUCCUCUCCCGAUCGAGAUCGACGCCCUUGCUCCUCCAUCAACCACACCGCAUCUCCUCCACCUCCUCCCUUUGGAUGAGAAGAGGAGCCCUUCUUCGUAUUUCGAGAAAGGAGAGGUGACGAGUUGGUCUUGCUUUCUAGUGUUUUGUUGUCGUCGGAUCUCAGAGUAGUAGCGACGGAGGGAGGAAAGAUGAAGACAACCAAAGGGAGAAAGGUGAUGAACCCCACCGAUUCCUAUCGGAAGGAGAUACGGAAGGAGGUCAAACGGAUUUUUUUUUCUGCUUUAUGGAUGAUGGUAUUGUAUGAAAGAUGUUUAAUUUUUUUUUGUGGACCAUUGCGCUAGUGGAGACGAUUCUUCAUUUGUAAGGAGGGUAACGAAGUGGGUAUAAAAUGAGAGAUUAUAAAAUUGUUGUUUAUGGCACGAUGGACUCGGUUGCCGAUCCUAUCCAAAUAAUUCAAGGCUUUCCAUGGACGAAAGAGUGGAGAAGAGCGCGUCUUUUCUCCUCUUUUUUCCCAUUCAUUUCCUUCUAAUUUCGAUGGAUUUGGACGCUACAUAAAUUAGGGUUCUUGUUCUCGUCGACGAGGUCUGAAAAUCCAGGAUAUCGAGGUUUUGGCUGCGGAAUUUGGACAUAUGUGGGGGGAGAGAGUGUGGUUCUACUGGGGAAGGUCGGAGCGAGAAGCGCGGAGAGAAGCAAAGGGAAUCGUCGUGCUCUUCUCGUGGCUCUCGAGCCAGGAGAGCGAUCUAAAGCCUUUCGUCGAUCUGUACUGUUCUGUCAGCUGGAGUCCCCUUGUCUGUCACGUCGACUUCCUCACGCUGAACUGUUCAGUUUAAUCUGGAUCCCUUCAAUGAGCACAAUGAUAUUGAUCUUUGGGAAGCGUUGGAGAGAGCUCAUCUAAAAGAUGUGAUUCGAAGGAAUUCAUUGCGGCUCGAUGCAGAGGUCUCGGGAGCUGGGGAGAAUUUCAGUGUCGGACAAAGACAACUUCUCAGUCUUUCACGAGCAUUGUUAAGGAGAUCAAAGAUUCUUGCCCUUUAUGAAGCUAUAGCAGCAGUGGAUGUUAGAAUUGAUGCUCUUAUCCAAAAAAUAAAAUUAUGGACCAAGGCUACUGUUGACAAAUUUAAGUGAUUGAUGCAUGCAAUGUGUUUGAUGAAUUUCCUCAAAUACUAUCCUGAGUUGAUUUUAUCAUUUUUGUUUGCUAAAUUGAGGAGUUGUUAUUUCUUGUUGCUCAAUUGGUUUUAUGUAUUCCUUGAACUAUCAAGUUUCUUUUUUUGUGUCGAAUUUUUUUUAUUGUUUAUGCACAUUUAAGUGCUACUGUUGACAAAAAAGUUCUGUUAUUUCUUUGAAAUAUUUAGGAG